CGUGGCUUCGCUUCCAACCAGCUUUUUCUCUCCAAGUGCAAGUGCAGCUCUGUCUCCGUGCUGUGGGCUCACACUGCUUCAGCUCUUCAAGACAGAUGACUUUUUUUUAACUCCCAAGCUUUUUCCCUCCAAGUGGCUGUGCAGUUCUGUCCUGCUGACUGCUAACAUAGCUUCAUCUCUUCAAAAGACAAGACAACAGUUCAGCUUCCACAAGAUGGAUCCCACUGAUUUUGUUUGACGAAUGGAAUAAAAGUUUUUCUGAUGUAGGAAAUGCAUGUGAUAUAACAAUAUUUAUUGAUAUGAAUGCUUACCAUACAGUACAUUAUCACACUUGAACUGUUAUUGUGAUGUAUUGUUUAACAGUGCACAUUUAAGCUACUGUUAACUGCUUUCUGACAAUGCAGCCUCUGCUGGUUUUUGACUGUUCACCAUUUCAAUGAUAUACGUGUUCAUGUUGGUGCAUACCUUAUGUGGUACAUAAAAUUUGUAGUGCCCAAUUUUUUUUAGUUGCUCUUUUGUUGUACAGUGUGCAACAAAUACAAAAAGUUAUGUAAAGAUUGUUAUUGGAUCCAGAUGCAUUUAAGUGUCCAUAUUGAAUGAAAUACAGUUCAUAUUCAAAUGAAGUUAAGUAUAUUCUAUAUUUUUUUAUAAGUCAGUCUUUUAAUAGUUUAUGGCUGGGACUUGAUGCACACAUGUUCAUGUUGCUACAUACAUGUGCCAUAAAAAAUAUUGACAUGA